rnacentral:rRNA from 1 species
CAUUACUGAAUAACUUGGUUGUUGAUGCUGGCUCGCAAGGGCAUGUGCUCGCACCAUAUUAUUUAUUAAUCUCUUGUGCACCUAUUGUAGUCUUUUGUGGGAGCGGGGUCGGAUUGAGGUUAACGCCUUGGUCUAGUUCUGCUUUCUACGGAGGCUAUGUUUUAUACACCUUUAAUCAAGUAUCAGAAUGUUUUCUUAUUGACUGCAAAGUCAGUAAAUCUAUACAACUUUCAGCAACGGAUCUCUUGGCUCUCCCAUCGAUGAAGAACGCAGCGAAAUGCGAUAAGUAAUGUGAAUUGCAGAAUUCAGUGAAUCAUCGAAUCUUUGAACGCACCUUGCGCCCUUUGGUAUUCCGAUGGGCAUGCCUGUUUGAGUGUCAUUAAAUUCUCAACCUUACCAGCUUUGUCUGUUGUAAGGCUUGGAUGUGAGGGCUUGCCGGCUUCCUUCAGUGGAUGGUCAGCUCCCUUCAAAUUCAUUAGUAGGUUCCGUUGUGGACGGUCACUUGGUGUGAUAAUUAUCUACGCCGCUCGACUCUGAAGCAAACCUAUGGAUGCCUGCUUAUAACCGUCCCCUUGUGGACAAUGUACCUUGACAAUUUGACCUCAAAUCAGGUAGGACUACCCGCUGAACUUAAG